rnacentral:rRNA from 1 species
UGGGGGAUUACGUUCGGAAACGGACGCUAAUACCGCAUACGUCCUACGGUAGAAAGCAGGGGACCUUCGGGCCUUGCUCUAUCUGAUGAGCCUAGGUCGGAUUAGCUAGUUGGUGGGGUAAUGGCUCACCAAUGCGACGAUCCGUAACUGGUCUGAGAGGAUGAUCAGUCACACUGGAACUGAAACACGGUCCAGACUCCUACGGGAGGCAGCUGUGGGGAAUAUUGGACAAUGGGCGAAAGCCUGAUCCAGCCAUGCUGCGUGUGUGAAGAAGGUCUUCGGAUUGUAAAGCACUUUUUAGUUGGGAGGAAGGGCUUUUAAAUUAAUACUUUUUCUGUUUUGACGUUACCGACAUAAUAAGCACCGGUUAACUCUUUUCCCAGCUGCCGCGGUUAUACAGGACGGUGCAUUGCGUUAAUUGGAAUUACCGUGCGUAAGGCUCGCUUAGGUGGUUCGUUUUUUUUUGGAUGUUAAAUCUCUGGGGCUCAUCUGCGAACUGCAUUCAAACUGACGUAGCUAGAGUAUUG